GGGGCUAAAAAUUUAAUUUAACCAUCCAAUUGAUUGGCUGGAGGUGUCUAUAGCUCCGUAUUAUUAAAUAAAAUAUGUAAAAAAAAUUUAAUUGAAAGAGUGUAUCGAAAGAUAUACCUCCGUACUGAAAUUUAAGUUUGAAAAGAUCUAGAAGGUCAAAGUUCAGUCUAACCAUCCAAACAAUUGGCUGAGGGUAUCUAUAGCUCUGUAUUAUUGAAUGGAACAUAUAAAAAUAAUCUAUUCGAGAAUUUCAAUGGUAUA
rnacentral:lncRNA from 1 species